AACGUAGACCUCAAGCGUUAUCCGGAUUUAUUGGGCGUACAGCGCGUGUAGGCGGCCUUGCAAGUCGGAUGUGAAAGCCCUCGGCUCAACCGGGGAAGUGCACCCGAAACUGCAAGGCUCGAGUUCCGGAGAGGAUAGUGGAAUUCUCGGUGUAGAGGUGAAAUUCGUAGAUAUCGAGAGGAACACCGGUGGCGAAGGCGGCUAUCUGGACGGUGACUGACGCUGAGACGCGAAAGCGUGGGGAGCAAACAGG
rnacentral:rRNA from 1 species